GAGCUGCCUUAAAACUUCAUUCAUAUUCGCGUAAAUCAAGCAACAAACGAGAGUAGUAUCAAAACUAUACAAUUCCUAUGAACAGAGUACGGUGACAAUCUCCAUUGAAGGAGAAAGCAAAUGACUAAAAGUUUUGUGUUUCAACGAACUUCCAUCUAUGAGCAGUAAUGGGGGAGAAACUCAACAAGAUUACAAGAUCCCGAUUUUUACCUAAACUCUUAGAAACCACUCCCUUUUUACUCUAAGAGAUGUAUGGAAUCACCUGCAAAAUCAAGGGCAAAGAAGAGGAUAUGUUGGCACCUGAAAGACCAGAGACUGAUGUUGUCGUCGUCUCUCAAUGCAAGCUUCAAGACAGGCAGCUUGUUUUAACACAUUGCCAUUUGCUUGAUCGUCUAACUUCUUUUGCUGGGCAGCUCUUAGGAAGGUGAAGGAUUCAAAUUCCUUGAUACUUGUCUACAUCAAACCUAGGAGCUGAUCUGAAGUAGCUAUUCCAGCCAAAAUGAAAAACAAAAAUGAGAAAGAAGCAAAAUUUGCAUAAAAGUAAACUGCAGAAGAAGUGAAGAAGAAGUGAAGAAGAUUCGUGGUACAAAAUUUACAGGAAUGAGUUUUACCGAUUAGUGUCUGAGCUUGGUUUCUCAAUGAAUAAUGAGUUUAGCUAUGGUGAACCUCCGCGUAUUCAAGGAACAAAAUUAACUUGAUAGUUAUUAUAUAAUCCUUUAGAAAACGCAAUCAGAUGAAUUUGAAUAACAAGCAAUUUCCAGAAUCUAAAGAUUUGAUGAAGUCAAAACGAAAUACCCAUUUCCAUAAUCUGAUGUCAAAAUGCCCAUCACAUCAUCAACAUCUCGAGCUGAAUUCGAUCUUUGAGCCAGUUUCAAUCCAUCUUUCACGACACCAAACACCAACAAAAUUGAAAGCUUUCGAGAUUACCUUAUCCUUAUUUGUAGGGGUGGAGGAAGAAGGUGACGAAGCGAGCCGGAGUAAUUUAGUGACGAAGCGAGAUGGAGCAGUUCAGUUACUCUGCCAAUCGCCCAUUUCAGAAUAGCCGGUGUUCUCUUCUCCGGCGAAUCAGAGAAGCUUCUCGGCCGAUGACUAAUUUCUCUGCAAAACGAAACGACAACCUAUAACAAGCAAAACGCAUAGAAUAUCAAAUGAUGUUAUAAUGUUUAUGUAUCACUGGAGUUAAUUUGACGGGCGGUGACAUAAUAACAAAGGAUGUUAAUAAUGUUUUGUAUCACAGACGUUAAUUUGACGGCCUGUGACAUAUAGGAGACAUGCUCCUAAAUGCUCAAAUUUGCUCAAAAUAAUGACAAAAACGACAACUGAAUAACAAGUAAAACGCAGCCUACUCGCUCA
rnacentral:lncRNA from 1 species